AUUGAACGCUGGCGGCAGGCCUAACACAUGCAAGUCGAACGAGUAGCGGACGGGUGAGUAAUGUCUGGGAAACUGCCUGAUGGAGGGGGAUAACUACUGGAAACGGUAGCUAAUAGCGCAUACCAUCGGAUGUGCCGAGAUGGGAUUAGCUAGUAGGUGGGGUAAAGGCUCACAUAGGCGACGAUCCCUAGCUGGUCUGAGAGGAUGACCAGCCACACGGGAACGGAGGCACGGUCCAGACUCCUACGGUAGGCAGCAGUGGGGAAUAUUGCACAAUGGGCGCAAGCCUGCUGCAGCCAUGCCGCGUGUAUGAAGAAGGACUUCGGGUUGUAAAGUACUUUCAGCGGGGAGGCGUUCCCUGCAGAAGAAGCAUCGGCUAACUCCGUGCCAGCAGCCGCGGUAAUAC
rnacentral:rRNA from 1 species